AAUGAACUUGUUGCAUAUUGGAGUACACCAGAGUGGAGAAAGAAAUCAGAAGCUGGUAAAACAAAUAGAAACGUAGAAAAAGAUGGGACUAUUACGAAACACUCUGGUGGUUCAAUAAAAUUGGAGGUUCAUGAGAAUAGAUUGGCAAAGAAGUUGGGUAUACAACCAACUCAACUUGAACUAUUUCGUGCAACUCACACAAAAAAGGGGAGUCAAGGUGUUUACAUUGAUGGAAAAUCACGACGAGUUGAUGAACUCCAACUACAUCUUUCUCAUGCACAUCAGCUCAUCCUGGAGGACCUUCUCAAACUAUGUUUUCUUUAGAGGAGGUUGAACAAAUAUUAGAGCAAAACCGGAUCAAAAUGAAACAAGACAUGGAGCAAAUGCAAGAGCAAAUGCAAGAGCAAAUGCGAGUGCAGAUAGAAAAACAAAUAAAAGAUCAGAUGAAAUCAUUGAAGAACAAAAAUAGAUUUUCACCGCAUAACACAACUGCAGAUUCAGAUGGUUCAACAAAUUCAUAGAUUACUUU